rnacentral:rRNA from 1 species
GACGAACGCUGGCGGCGCGCCUAACACAUGCAAGUCGAGCGAAGCGGCGAACGGGUGAGUAACGCGUGAGGAACCUGCCUCUCACAACGGGAUAGCCUCGGGAAACCGGGAUUAAUACCGUAUGGUGCGAGAUGGCCUCGCGUCUGAUUGGUUAGGUGGUGGGGUAACGGCCUACCACGACGACGAUCAGUAACCGGCCUGAGGGGAAAAACGGUGACAUAGAAACUGAGACAAGGCCUAAGCUACGACGGGAGGCGGCAUUGGGGAAUAUUGCACAAAGGGCGAAAGCGUGAUGCAGCGACUCCGCGUGGGGGAUGAAGGCUGUCGGGUUGUAAAACUCUUUCGCUAUGGCUAAUUUUUUGGUGAGUUGAGGGUAGGUGAAGAAGAAGCACCGGCUAACUACGUGCCAGCCGCCGCGGUAAUAC